AAGAUCAUACUUUAUAGGGUCAAUUCUAUAUGAAUUUCCGGGUUUUUUCGCCAAAAUUCUCGAAUAUAUUCAACCCCGAUGAGGACUUUUCAUGUGAUCCCUGAGCGGGAAGCCCGGGCCUUACGUAUUUUGUAAAAGCAUUGAUACCGUUUUUUGGGUCGGGAUACCGUGUCUAGAGGAGGGUUUACGCAGACUGAGUGGU